GCAGCUGCUGCUUUGCUUCUCCCCUGGUUCCUAUUGUAGUACAGGCUCAGAGUCAGCAAAGCAGCCUCGUCCUGAACCCUAGUUUACACCUAGAAUAUGAGGCAGGUGAUAAGAGUGACACUGUUCCUGAUCCUGGGCACUUUAAGCCUUGCGAAGACCACCCAGCGCAUCUCCAUGGACGCCUAUGAAGGAAAGGAAGUGAACAUAUCCUGUAACCACACCAACAUUGCCACAAAUGAGUACAUCUUCUGGUACCGACAGGUCCCCCACCAGGGACCACACUUUGUCAUUCAAGGAUAUAAGACGAAUGUGGCAAAUGAAGUGGCAUCUCUGUUUAUCCCGGUUGACAGAAAGUCCAGCACCCUGAGCCUGCACCGCGUUACCCUGAAAGACAGUGCUGUGUACUACUGCACUGUGGGUGGCACAGAGCCUCUGGAGGUGCAAGCUACUCAUCCUUUGUUCUUCCAUCUCAGUUCUGAUACCUGUACCACCAAUCAAGGCCUCCAGCUCCUUCUGAUGUACGUGUCAGGGACCACUUUGAUUAAAGGCAUCUGUGGUUUUGAGGCUGAACUUAGGAAGAAUGAAGCCUUCUUCCACCUGAGGAAGCCCUGA